rnacentral:piRNA from 1 species
CUGGAUUGCUAUGGGGUAUUCUGGACUCU